AUUGAACGCUGGCGGCAGGCCUAACACAUGCAAGUCGAGCGGAUGACGGGAGCUUGCUCCUUGAUUCAGCGGCGGACGGGUGAGUAAUGCCUAGGAAUCUGCCUGGUAGUGGGGGACAACGUUUCGAAAGGAACGCUAAUACCGCAUACGUCCUACGGGAGAAAGCAGGGGACCUUCGGGCCUUGCGCUAUCAGACGAGCCUAGGUCGGAUUAGCUAGUUGGUGGGGUAAUGGCUCACCAAGGCGACGAUCCGUAACUGGUCUGAGAGGAUGGUCAGUCACACUGGAACUGAGACACGGUCCAGACUCCUACGGGAGGCAGCAGUGGGGAAUAUUGGACAAUGGGCGAAAGCCUGAUCCAGCCAUGCCGCGUGUGUGAAGAAGGUCUUCGGAUUGUAAAGCACUUUAAGUUGGGAGGAAGGGCAGUAAGUUAAUACCUUGCUGUUUUGACGUUACCGACAGAAUAAGCACCGGCUAACUCUGUGCCAGCCGCCGCGGUAA
rnacentral:rRNA from 1 species